rnacentral:rRNA from 1 species
AGAGUUUGAUCCUGGCUCAGGAUGAACGCUAGCGGCAGGCCUAAUACAUGCAAGCCGAACGAUAGUUUUAGCAGCAAUGCUGAGACGAGAGUGGCGUAAGGGUGCGUAACACGUAUGCAAUCUACCCGAUACAGGGGUAUAGCUCGGGGAAACCCGGAUUAAUCCCCCAUAGGAUAAUUGGGAGGCAUCUUCUGAUUAUUAAAACUGAGGUGGUAGCGGAUGAGCAUGCGUCUGAUUAGUUAGUUGGUAGGGUAACGGCCUACCAAGGCGAUGAUCAGUAGGGGAACUGAGAGGUUGAUCCCCCACACUGGCACUGAGAUACGGGCCAGACUCCUACGGGAGGCAGCAGUAGGGAAUAUUGGACAAUGGGUGCGAGCCUGAUCCAGCCAURCCGCGUGCAGGAAGAAGGCCUUCUGGGUUGUAAACUGCUUUUGUCAGGGGCUAAAAAGGUCUUGCGAGACAAAUUGAAAGUACCUGAAGAAUAAGCCACGGCUAACUACGUGCCAGCAGCCGCGGUAAUACGUAGGUGGCAAGCGUUGUCCGGAUUUAUUGGGUUUAAAGGGUGCGUAGGCGGUCUGUUAAGUCAGUGGUGAAAUACGGCAGCUUAACUGUCGAGGUKCCAAUGAUACUGGCGGACUUGAGUACAGACGAGGUAGGCGGAAUUGACGGUGUAGCGGUGAAAUGCUUAGAUAUCGUCAAGAACACCGAUAGCGAAGGCAGCUUACUAGAGUGUAACUGACGCUGAGGCACGAAAGUGUGGGGAUCAAACAGGAUUAGAUACCCUGGUAGUCCACACUGUAAACGAUGAUUACUCGAUGUGUGCGAUACACAGCACGCGUCUUAGCGAAAUGCGAKAGUCAUCCACCUGGGGAGUACCCCGGCAAGGGCUAAACUCAAAGGAAUUGACGG